rnacentral:tRNA from 1 species
AGUUAACGUAGCAAAAUUUGGCACUGCAAAAGGCCUAAGCCCUUCCUAUAGAGGUUCAAAUCCUCUCGUUAACU